rnacentral:rRNA from 1 species
GAUGAACGCUGGCGGCGUGCCUAAUACAUGCAAGUCGAGCGAACAGACGAGGAGCUUGCUCCUCUGACGUUAGCGGCGGACGGGUGAGUAACACGUGUAUAACCUACCUAUAAGACUGGGAUAACUUCGGGAAAGCGGAGAUAAUACCGGAUAAUAUAUUGAACCGCAUGGUUCAUUAGUGAAAGACGGUUUUGCUGUCACUUAUAGAUGGAUCCGCGCCGGAUUAGCUAGUUGGUAAGGUAACGGCUUACCAAGGCGACGAUGCGUAGCCGACCUGAGAGGGUGAUCGGCCACACUGGAACUGAGACACGGUCCAGACGCCUACGGGAGGCAGCAGUAGGGAAUCGUCCGCAAUGGGCGAAAGCCUGACGGAGCGACGCCGCGUGAGUGAUGAAGGUCUUCGGAUCGUAAAACUCUGUUAUUAGGGAAGAACAAAUGUGUAAGUAACUAUGCACGUCUUGACGGUACCUAAUCAGAAAGCCACGGCUAACUACGUG